UUUGCAGAGAUGCGAAUGUGCCUUCGGGAACUGUGAGACAGGUGCUGCAUGGCUGUCGUCAGCUCGUGUUGUGAAAUGUUGGGUUAAGUCCCGCAACGAGCGCAACCCUUAUCCUUUGUUGCCAGCGGUUAGGCCGGGAACUCAAAGGAGACUGCCAGUGAUAAACUGGAGGAAGGUGGGGAUGACGUCAAGUCAUCAUGGCCCUUACGACCAGGGCUACACACGUGCUACAAUGGCGCAUACAAAGAGAAGCGACCUCGCGAGAGCAAGCGGACCUCAUAAAGUGCGUCGUAGUCCGGAUUGGAGUCUGCAACUCGACUCCAUGAAGUCGGAAUCGCUAGUAAUCGUGGAUCAGAAUGCCACGGUGAAUACGUUCCCGGGCCUUGUACACACCGCCCGUCACACCAUGGGAGUGGGUUGCAAAAGAAGUAGGUAGCUUAACCUUCGGGAGGGCGCUUACCACUUUGUGAUUCAUGACUGGGGUGAAGUCGUAACAAGGUAACCGUAGGGGAACCUGCGGUUGGA
rnacentral:rRNA from 1 species